AGUGAACGCUGGCGGUAGGCCUAACACAUGCAAGUCGAACGGAAGCACAGUAAGAGCUUGCUCUUACGGGUGGCGAGUGGCGGACGGGUGAGGAAUACAUCGGAAUCUACUUUUUCGUGGGGGAUAACGUAGGGAAACUUACGCUAAUACCGCAUACGUCCUACGGGUGAAAGCAGGGGAUCUUCGGACCUUGCGCGAUUGAAUGAGCCGAUGUCGGAUGAGCUAGUUGGCGGGGUAAAGGCCAAACAAGGCGACGAUCCGUAGCGGGUCUGAGAGGAUGAUCAGCUACCCUGGAAGAGAGACACGGUCGAGACUCCUACAGGGGGAAGCAGUGGAGAAUAUUGCGGGAUGGGGGCGAGCCUAAUCCAGCGAUACCGCGUGAAGGAAGAAGGCGUCCGGCUGGGAGAACGCUGUUGUCGGGAGGGAAAAGCAGCUGUUUAAUCCCCCGCGGUACUGACGGUACCCAAAGAAUAAGCCCCGGCUAACUUCGUG
rnacentral:rRNA from 1 species